rnacentral:rRNA from 1 species
CGAUGAACCACUUCGGUGGGGAUUAGUGGCGAACGGGUGAGUAACACGUGGGCAAUCUGCCCUGCACUCUGGGACAAGCCCUGGAAACGGGGUCUAAUACCGGAUAUGAGCCUCCAUCGCAUGGUGGAGGCUGUAAAGCUCCGGCGGUGCAGGAUGAGCCCGCGGCCUAUCAGCUUGUUGGUGAGGUAACGGCUCACCAAGGCGACGACGGGUAGCCGGCCUGAGAGGGCGACCGGCCACACUGGGACUGAGACACGGCCCAGACUCCUACGGGAGGCAGCAGUGGGGAAUAUUGCACAAUGGGCGAAAGCCUGAUGCAGCGACGCCGCGUGAGGGAUGACGGCCUUCGGGUUGUAAACCUCUUUCAGCAGGGAAGAAGCGAAAGUGACGGUACCUGCAGAAGAAGCGCCGGCUAACUACGUGCCAGCAGCCGCGGUAAUACGUAGGGCGCAAGCGUUGUCCGGAAUUAUUGGGCGUAAAGAGCUCGUAGGCGGCUUGUCGCGUCGGUUGUGAAAGCCCGGGGCUUAACCCCGGGUCUGCAGUCGAUACGGGCAGGCUAGAGUUCGGUAGGGGAGAUCGGAAUUCCUGGUGUAGCGGUGAAAUGCGCAGAUAUCAGGAGGAACACCGGUGGCGAAGGCGGAUCUCUGGGCCGAUACUGACGCUGAGGAGCGAAAGCGUGGGGAGCGAACAGGAUUAGAUACCCUGGUAGUCCACGCCGUAAACGGUGGGCACUAGGUGUGGGCAACAUUCCACGUUGUCCGUGCCGCAGCUAACGCAUUAAGUGCCCCGCC